UUGGGUGCUUUUUUUUUUUCUCCUUCCCCCUCCACUAAAUCAACUAAACGUAUAUCCACAAAAAGCCACUGGGAAUAACGGUCAGUAGAGCUUUUUUCUUCCUUAAAAAGGAGAUUUAAGAACUAAUGUGCUAUACCUCAAAGCAGAGUUCAGAAUCAAUUUGCUGUGUUCCUACAAUGAGUGUUGCAGGAGCGGGGCCUGGACCCUGCCUGGCUCUCAAAUAUUCUGCAAAUCUUUAGGGUUUUUUGACUGUGUUUUAAAAUUAUUUAAAGUAUAUAUAGUGGCAGGAAGCGUCCCCUAGAGCGUCCUUUGUAAGCAAAUACAAUCCAGGCAGAGCAAUAGAAAUGACAGGAUUUUGGAAACUGUGUAAUGAGAGCAAGUAGUUACUGUCAAUAGGCAUCGCAACAGUAACAGGUAAAUAUUAUUUUUUUUCAAUUUAACUAGUUCAAAUGUAUUUAACAGGAAGGGAAACCUCGAUUCGGUUAAAUGAAGUAGCCAAAAUUAAAUGAAGUAACUAUGUAAUUUUUCUCAUCUUUUUAUGUGGGUGAUCUUAAAUUUUGCAGCUCUACAACAUGAAUUGUUGCUUUUUGUAACUGAAAAUUAUUUGUUUUAAUGGCUGCUUUUCUUAAAAGAAAAAAGACAGCCAUCUCAGGCUGCUGUAUCUGCCUGUGGCUCUGGCACAGGGUAAUAGUUACAGAACAGCCCCCUUUCCAGGUCGCUGCCUUCCCUCAGACUGGACACAACAGAGGCAGCUGCUGAGGAACAGCACAAACCAGCCGUGGUUGGGAUCAGAGUCUUCUUGAGCACGUCCAGAACAUGCUCUUAAAAUAAGCAGAGGGUCAAAUUAACCGAUGGCUCGAGGAUAAGACUUUUCCACCAUUAUUUUCAUCCUAAAGUUAAUUUUUAACAAUACUUCCUGCCAAGGCCUGAGCUCCUCACUGUUCUAUAACCACUUACUUGUCAGCUUCUUUUUAGAACUGGCCUAUGAAGGCACCAGUAAAGCUCUAAAUCCAGUAAAUCAUAUUAGUGUAAUUCCUCAUCACUAAUGACAAGGCUGAAGGAAGAAGUCUCCCUAAGAGAGAUGCAAGUACUACAAGAACAAUGUUCAAAACGUAAUUUCUGCCCCAAAAUUGUGUCCCUGCUGUAGCUUGUCUCUAGCUGGUCUUGCACACCUUUUUUUUUCCCCAGGGAGAAAUAUUUUCAGUAAUAAAAUACACCCUUUUUUAAUAAAAAAGCCCAUGGAGAGGGUGUUUGCCUCAAGACAGCACAAACCAGGUAACAAUAGUCUGAAAUGAAGAAGUUCACUUGUUUUUCAAAGCUACCUACAGGCACCACGGAGACAAGUUUUAAUGUAAGAGCGCUAAGAUUUAAACUUGGAUCCCUUAAACUCUUCACUCAGCAGCUUUCAUCUACUUUGACAUCAAAUGCUGGUCAAAAAAAGCCUAUUUAUCAAAAAACCUUUAAUUUUUCAAGAGACACAUAACCUGUUUUUAAAAUCAGGAGCUAAUGGUUUCUUUCUGGAAAUCAGAACUAAUGUAAAAGCAGCUUAUCCUUUCUCCUGCCCCCCCACCCCUUCUUAAACUUUCUCUCUUACUACAAUGAAGGUUAAGAUGCGAGUUAAAAUAGUUAAAAUAGCAAGAAUAUUAUGAAAAAUAAUGCAGAACUACAUGGAACAGUUUCCUUCAACCCUCAAUUUACUUUUUAGCAAGCAAAUCUUACGGUUGUGUCCAAUUACCACCAAAGGAUUAGUGUUCUCAUUGUAUGAUAUUCUGAGGACAAAGUCUAGAUAUUAUAUAAAACAAUAAAUUCUUAGAUUAAACCACCUCUUUUUUUGUCAGCUGUGAAGUUCAGCCAAGACAAACCGCUCUCUUCCACCCAAGCAAACACCAGGUUGACAGAAGAGCACCCACAGAGCAAACCCAGUGGUGCUUGGUAGUACCUCCCUGGGGGUUCUUAAUGCACAGAUGCUGCUGAAAGAUUAUUACAGUAGAAUAAAACCCAUAUUGUUAAGAAUAUGAUUGGAAACCUAUAGGUCAUCGUAUCAAGUGUGUUUUUACUAUAUCAUCUAUCCCAGUAACUUUUUAAAAUGAUUCAGAAUGUCAUUUUCUGAGGGUUUUUUCAACUGGAGAUGUGUACGUCCGAACUCUGGAUUACUACAUUAAAUGAUGACAUUGAAUCUUAAA